UACGUAGGGACCAAGCGUUGUUCGGAUUUACUGGGCGUAAAGGGCGCGUAGGCGGCUUGUCAAGUCACUUGUGAAAUCUCUGGGCUUAACCCAGAACGGCCAAGUGAAACUGUCAUGCUAGAGUGCAGAAGGGGCAAUCGGAAUUCUUGGUGUAGCGGUGAAAUGCGUAGAUAUCAAGAGGAACACCUGAGGUGAAGACGGGUUGCUGGGCUGACACUGACGCUGAUGCACGAAAGCGUGGGGAGCAAACAGG
rnacentral:rRNA from 1 species